rnacentral:rRNA from 1 species
UACGAAGGGGGCUAGCGUUGUUCGGAAUUACUGGGCGUAAAGCGCGCGUAGGCGGUUUUGCAAGCCAGAGGUGAAAUGCCUGAGCUCAACUUAGGAAUUGCCUUUGGGACUGCGAGGCUUUGAGGACUGGAGAGGUGAGUGGAAUUCCCAGUGUAGAGGUGAAAUUCGUAGAUAUUGGGAAGAACACCGGUGGCGAAGGCGGCUCACUGGCCAGUUUCUG